rnacentral:rRNA from 1 species
CACGUAGUUAGCCGAUCCUUAUUCAUAAGUUACCGUCAUAUUCCUCACUUAUAAAAGCAGUUUACAACCCGAGGGCCUUCGUCCUGCACGCGGCGUUGCUCCAUCAGGCUUUCGCCCAUUGUGGAAGAUUCCUCACUGCUGCCUCCCGUAGGAGUCUGGACCGUGUCUCAGUUCCAGUCUGGCUGGUCAUCCUCUCAGACCAGCUACGGAUCGUCGGCUUGGUGAGCCAUUACCUCACCAACUACCUAAUCCGACGCGAGCCGCUCCCAAAGCGGAUAAAUCCUUUGAUCCGAAGAUAAUAUGCGGUAUUAGCUACCCUUUCGGGCAGUUAUUCCUCACUUUGGGGCACGUUCCCACGCGUUACUCAGCCGUCCGCCGCUCGCCGACAGGGUGCAAGCACCCUCGCUGCCGCUCGACUUGCAUGUGUUAGCACGCCGCCAGCGUUCAUCCUGAGCCAGGAUCAAACUCU